CACUCUAUUUGAUUUUCUUCGGAAAUGAAGAUUUUGUGACUGAGUGGCGGACGGGUGAGUAACGCGUGGGUAACCUGCCUCAUACAGGGGGAUAACAGUUGGAAACGACUGCUAAUACCGCAUAAGCGCACAGGAUCGCAUGAUCUGGUGUGAAAAACUCCGGUGGUAUGGGAUGGACCCGCGUCUGAUUAGCCAGUUGGCAGGGUAACGGCCUACCAAAGCGACGAUCAGUAGCCGACCUGAGAGGGUGACCGGCCACAUUGGGACUGAGACACGGCCCAAACUCCUACGGGAGGCAGCAGUGGGGAAUAUUGCACAAUGGGGGAAACCCUGAUGCAGCGACGCCGCGUGAGCGAAGAAGUAUUUCGGUAUGUAAAGCUCUAUCAGCAGGGAAGAAGAAUGACGGUACCUGACUAAGAAGCACCGGCUAAAUACGUGCCAGCAGCCGCGGUAAUACGUAUGGUGCAAGCGUUAUCCGGAUUUACUGGGUGUAAAGGGAGCGCAGGCGGUGCGGCAAGUCUGAUGUGAAAGCCCGGGGCUCAACCCCGGUACUGCAUUGGAAACUGUCGUACUAGAGUGUCGGAGGGGUAAGUGGAAUUCCUAGUGUAGCGGUGAAAUGCGUAGAUAUUAGGAGGAACACCAGUGGCGA
rnacentral:rRNA from 1 species